rnacentral:rRNA from 1 species
UACGGGGGGGGCAAGCGUUGUUCGGAAUUACUGGGCGUAAAGGGCUCGUAGGUGGCCAACUAAGUCAGACGUGAAAUCCCUCAGCUUAACUGGGGAACUGCGUCUGAUACUGGUUGGCUUGAGUGCAGGAGAGGAACGCGGAAUUCCAGGUGUAGCGGUGAAAUGCGUAGAUAUCUGGAGGAACACCGGUGGCGAAGGCGGCGUUCUGGACUGCAACUGACACUGAGGAACGAAAGCCAGGGGAGCAAACGGG